rnacentral:rRNA from 1 species
AGAGUUUGAUCCUGGCUCAGGACGAACGCUGGCGGCGUGCCUAACACAUGCAAGUCGAACGGCCCGCCCCGUUGGAUCCCUUCGGGGAGAAGACGGGUUCCCGGGCAGUGGCGGACGGGUGAGUAACGCGUGGAGAACCUGUCUCUCAGUUGGGGAUAACCUGGCGAAAGUCGGGCUAAUCCCGAAUACGCUCUUGAGGUGGCAUCACUUUGGGAGGAAAGGUGCUUUCGGGCAUCGCUGAGAGGUGGCUCCGCGUCGGAUUAGCUAGCUGGUGGGGUAACGGCUCACCAGGGCGACGAUCCGUAGCUGGUCUGAGAGGAUGAUCAGCCACACUGGGACUGAGACACGGCCCAGACUCCUACGGGAGGCAGCAGUGGGGAAUCUUCCGCAAUGGGCGAAAGCCUGACGGAGCAACGCCGCGUGAACGAAGAAGGCCUUCGGGUCGUAAAGUUCUGUCCUCAGGGAAGAACCCUCAUGGGAGGAAAUGCCCAUGAGCUGACGGUACCUGGGAAGGAAGCCCUGGCUAACUACGUGCCAGCAGCCGCGGUAAUACGUAGAGGGCAAGCGUUGUCCGGAAUUACUGGGCGUAAAGGGUACGCAGGCGGAUAUAUAAGUCAAAUGUGAAAGGCACCGGCUCAACCGGUGAGCGGCAUUUGAAACUGUAUAUCUUGAGUUCAGGAGAGGAGAGCGGAAUUCCUGGUGUAGCGGUGGAAUGCGUAGAUAUCAGGAAGAACACCAGUGGCGAAGGCGGCUCUCUGGCCUGAAACUGACGCUCAGGUACGAAAGCUGGGGGAGCGAACGGGAUUAGAUACCCCGGUAGUCCCAGCCGUAAACGAUGGACACUAGGUGUUGGGG